CCGGCAAACGGGUGCGGAACACGUACGCAACCUUCCUUCAAGCGGGGAAUAGCCCAGGGAAACUUGGAUUAAUACCCCAUAACACAAUUGGUUCGCAUGGACUGAUUGUUAAAGAAUUUCACUUGAAGAUGGGCGUGCGUCUGAUUAGGUAGUUGGCGGGGUAACGGCCCACCAAGCCUACGAUCAGUAACUGGUGUGAGAGCACGACCAGUCACACGGGCACUGAGACACGGGCCCGACUCCUACGGGAGGCAGCAGUAAGGAAUAUUGGGCAAUGGACGAAAGUCUGACCCAGCCAUGCCGCGUGGAGGAUGAAGGUCCUCUGGAUUGUAAACUUCUUUUAUCUGGGAAGAAAAAAGGGAAUUCUUUCCCGUCUGACGGUACCAGAUGAAUAAGCACCGGCUAACUCCGUGCCAGCAGCCGCGGUAAUACGGAGGGUGCAAGCGUUAUCCGGAUUUACUGGGUUUAAAGGGUGCGUAGGUGGACUGGUAAGUCCGUGGUGAAAUCCCCGAGCUUAACUUGGGAACUGCCAUGGAUACUAUUAGUCUUGAAUUUUCUGGAGGUUAGCGGAAUAUGUCAUGUAGCGGUGAAAUGCUUAGAUAUGACAUAGAACACCGAUUGCGAAGGCAGCUGGCUACAGAAACAUUGACACUGAGGCACGAAAGCGUGGGGAUCAAACAGGAUUAGAUACCCUGGUAGUCCAC
rnacentral:rRNA from 1 species